GGAAGCUACGCCACUGAAUUGGAUACAUAACCUUGGAAAUGAAUAUUUUGUUUUUGAACGGCAUUUUGAGAAAGAUUCUUUUAAAGAGGAUAUCAGGCUAAUCCAUUUUCUUUUGGAAACCUAUUGACCAACCUGGACUAUUAGCAUCUAAGGAAACAGCUCAAUGAAGACAUCAAUAGUGACAAAACUAUCCCACUCUCAAUCCAUAUUGAAGAAUAAAUCAACUUUGUGCAACAUAUACAGAUAGAAUUGUCCAUCAUAUGUGCUAAGGAAUGUUCAAGUGAAGAAUGAAGAAGUGAAGAUAAUGAACAAUCCUGUAUAAAGAAUUCAAAAUUAAAAGUUUAAGAAUUAAGAGUGUCGCUUUC